ensembl:lncRNA
AUGGAAACGGACGCUGCAGCCACUCUGCUASCUGGGAUCCUCUCUAAGAGAGGGGUGGAUGCCCCAGUGAAGCAGUUACACAGAUUGAUUAAGUUAGGGCAGCAAUGGGGAUAUUUUUCAGACACACACUUGAUAUUCUCCGUAUCGGAGUGGAGAGACUUUGGGGAAACGAUGUGGUCUAAGACCAUUGAGGGUGGAGCGAAGGAUGAGAAGGAGAUCAAGGYGGUACGAACCCUCUGGAGUACGGUCCUGGAGACUCUGGUGGCGAUGAAGGCGGAGAGGGAGGUGGCUGCAGCGGCUACAAAAAUGUUGAGCCCUGCGCCAAGUAGCACCCCUCAGGGACCCGGCGGCGGGUCUCAGCUCGCUAUCAGAGGGACUGGCUCCGYGGGUAAGCCGUACCGCACAGUGGCUGAGAUGCUGCAGUCCUUGCGGAAAGGUUCGGCCGCCCCACAAGGAAAAGGGGAAGUUACCGCCGAGCCAGCCGGCUCAAGCACUGCCGAAAAUGCGGAAGUACAGCCGACUGCCUCCCAGGACCCGGAGGAGGGUGGGACAAUCCCUAGYGCCUCGCCUCUGCCACCCACUCAAGGGCCGCCUCGACCUACGGCUCCUCCUCCCCCUCCACCGCCGCCCGCGUGGCCCUUACCACCGUCCGUGCAAGAGGGAGCCGGCAAUGCGCCGCAAGGGCCGUGGCGAGAGCCUCUGGCCCUGUCCUCUCCUGAGUCAUCAGGCACAGCCUUGCCUACCGCCCCCAUGGGGACAAAGCUGUCUACGGCUCAACUAUUAAAAAUGUUUGAGCAGCUGUCAGAAAAACUGGAAAAGCUGGAACUGAGGGACGGGAAAGUUGUUCGCGCACUUUGGAACACCGUACUAGAGACUUUAACGGCAGUGUGCCAGUCUGUCGGGGAGGCACUGCAAAGGGCGCGGGAGAACUCUGAGGGGGAGGCAUUGUCAGCGCCGUCACCCGCUGCGUUCCAGAAAGCGGAAGUUUCCUCAGAGCCGGCUGGUCUGAGCUCUGAGGCAAACGCGGAAGUGCACCCGGAGGAGGUUCAAAGAGGGGCGGUGGCCACACCCCUUGCUGACCUCAUAGACUUGGGCGGAAAGGAGGGCCGACCCUCUCCUAGUGCUCCUCCCCCGCCGCCGCCUAACGCGAAUCCCCUGCAUCCACCGUUGCCGCUGUCUACGCCACCUCAGCGGCCGCCUCUACCCUCCUUCAACAAGACCACCCGCUCACGCCAGACGCCAUCAGAGUACCCCCCGCUGCUUUCGUCCAGCAAGUCUUCGGGGGACAACACGCCUGGCACCAGAAAUAAAGCACCGCCGUCACCAGGAGAAACCGUAAGAGUGCUACAGGAACUAUCGGAACGCCUGAAAAAGGUGGAGCUACAGACGCAAGAGAGAGAGAGGGGAAUUCCUCCCUGCUUAGUAAAUCCCCUCGCCGAACUUCCAAGGGAGUCUCGCUGGGGUGCUAUUAUCAAGAACGCUAUAGUGGAAGGCCAGUGGCAAGCCACCAGAGGGGUGGGCGGUUCUGCCCCACUGACAUUCCCGAUAUUGUACCAGCACGGGCAGGGAAAAUGGGAACCGCAUGAUUGGAAGAUCUUACAACAGGCCCGUACAACCGUUUCCACAUAUGGGAACGUUGCAACCCGGCAUGCCAUCACCUAG